CGCGAGUAAAAGCAGGGGCCGCAACAGUCGUAUAAUUCUUACUGUGGACGAAGCACGUGUUGCCUUUUAGCUGUGUAGGAAGGUGUACCGUAUGAAAGAUGCGCCUUUUUUUCAUGCUGUCUCUUAUCUGUCUAACGCUGAGGUUCCGGUCGACUCGUCUCAGCCAAGAUCUCCUUCACUUUCGGUGUCCUUCGAAAUUCCCAGAAUCCACAGGGCUUCUAAGGAGAAUAGCGCUCGACUGUGCAACGGAAAAGACCUUUCGUAUAUAGAUUAGAUCAACUACACUCACCUUAUGUGCCCAUACUCUUAUGUACAACAGAGUUUCAUUCAGUUCUCCCAUACUCAUUUGUCAUUAAGUUUAGAAUUGUUUAUAUUUUUCUAAUAAAAUGAUAGUACUUGUC